rnacentral:rRNA from 1 species
UACGGGGGGGGGCAAGCGUUGUUCGGAAUUACUGGGCGUAAAGGGCUCGUAGGCGGCCAACUAAGUCGGAUGUGAAAUCCCCGGGCUCAACCUGGGAACUGCGUCCGAUACUGGCAGGCUUGAAUCCGGGAGAGGGAUGUGGAAUUCCAGGUGUAGCGGUGAAAUGCGUAGAUAUUGGGAGGAACACCAGUGGCGAAGGCGGCUCGCUGGACCGGAACUGACGCUGAGGCGCGAAAGCGUGGGGAGCAAACAGG